rnacentral:lncRNA from 1 species
GCCAAUUCCCAUCUUAAAUAAAGGUGCCCCUUCAGGGUCUAGCCACUCCCUCAGCGUACGCUUCCAAAUACAGUUAUUUCACAUAACACCAAACAAUGCUUCCUGAAUGCAACUGCCCCCUGACCAGGCUGUGAAAUCCACUGUUACUGCUGUCUGGAGUGGUGAUGGUGGUGAUGGUGGUGGUGGUGUUGGGGUGUGUGUGUGUGUGUGUGUGAGUGAAUGUGUGUGUGUGUGUGAGUGUGUGUGUGUGUGCGCGCGUGUGUGUGCGCACACACGAGCAUACUGUGAGACAGAAGCCCUCAGUGUUUCUAUGCAUUGAACUGAAUCCUGUCAAGAUUCCAAACAGGCUUCCUAGACGCAGAGCAAACGGACUUGGAUGGCGUUUUCUCAGUCUGAACUCAGUGCCCUGCUGUGGAAAAGGUCGCAGACCAAGGCUUCUCACAGCUGCAGAAAUCAACCCUCUCACAGGCAGCAUCACUACCAGCUUCUGGACCAGCAGACGUGCUCUGAGAGCGUCCUCUCCCAUCUGGCUUGAGCUGGGAUCUGAAAUAGCCACUGGCUUCCUGCAGCCCUGGAAGCCCAGCACAUGCAGCUUUGGGCUGUGUGAAAGACAUGGUCUAUUCUUUCCUCAGUUCUACACACAUUCCCUAUCAGUCAGCUGCUCAACAAAAGCAGUCUCAUCUUGGUUACGAGUAUUCAAGUGCUUUCCAAAGACAUUAAAUCAAGAUCUGGUUCACUCAGAAACAGCCUCCUCCUCCCCAAGGUGCAGGGGCAGCAGUUAUGUAUGUUGGUCAGCAGGGGCUCUUUUUGCCACUUGGCUUCCUCUGAGUGGUUCAGAAACCACCUCCAAUACAUCGGGUCCUCUGUACAACUUCCCCCAAGCUUUUCAGAGUACGAGGUCACAGGCCCUGCAGAGAGCAGCCACAGGGCGCCCACAGUCAGGAUUCCACCUUGUGGCCACCCACAAAAACCCACAACAGCAGUGCGGUUGCUAGAAACCAGGACAGCCCUACCAAACCUGAAGGAGGGAGUGGCCACCUCCACCCAUGAGUGGCCUUUUCCUUGAAGACCACAGGGCACUGAUCAGGGCAUUUUGCCAAGCAAACUAUGGCUGUUGAUGAAGACAUCUCCCAGCUGGGCUCAGAAGAACUUUAUCACUUUAGUAGAGAGAGGAUUAGAAUCUCCGAAUAAAUACCUCUGGAUUUUGUUCCCUUAGCACACCAUCGAGCCACAGGUUCCAGAGAAUGUUUGUUUGAGUGUAUGCUGAUGUGUCUAAGUGUCCAUAUGAUAA